rnacentral:rRNA from 1 species
GGCCCGGAUGGGUGGUCCACCGUUUCGGUGCGUACUGCCUUCUGCCGGGCCUUCACCCUUCUGGAUGAACCAGUGUGCCCUUUACUGGGCGUGCUGGGGAGCCAGGACGUUUACCUUGAAAAAAUUAGAGUGUUCAAAGCAGGCGCACGCUUGUAUAGAUUAGCAUGGAAUAAUGGAAUAGGACUUUGGUCUUAUUUUGUUGGUUUCUAAGACCACAGUA